AUCAGUUGUGUGGGGAGAAUGGAGGGAGCUGCGGCAGGCUAGUAAGGAUGGGUGUCGUACUUGGGAGGUGAACCAAGCUGUCGAAGCAAUGAUGGAACUCUUCAGAAGAACACACUGCAGCCUUCAAAACAGCAGCCCUGCUGGACUUCCCCAGGAACGACUGAUAGGGAAACAAAAUGAUUGCCAGGAUAGUAUGAACUGCAGACAGCCCAAGAUGUAAGUGAGGGAAGAAGACAAGAGCCCCACUGGCACACAGAGUUUCUCAAUGGACUACAUCACCACAUAGUUGCAUGCAGGCACAAAGGGCACGUCUCAUCUCUCAUUCACUGAAAAAUACCGAAAUGUCCAAGAACACGCCUAUGAACUAUGUAUUGCAACAACCAGCCUCCAAGAGAUGACAGUAAUCAAUUCUACAGAAGAAAUCUCAAGCUCCUGCAUCAGACAGUUAAAUAAGAACUGCAGAAAACCAUUUUAGUAUAUUCUUCAGUACCAGUUCCAACAGCUGACAUACGUUUUCUGAAUAGCAAUGUGUUCCACCUCCUCUCUCAACCUCAGUAAGUUCUUGACUGCAACACACCUAUAAAAGCAACAAGUUCUCCAGGCAACUUGCAUAUACUGCGCUUUCCUUCUUCAGGAUGAAACAUGAAAGUCUUUCAGCAAUUAGCCUUGCACAAUCAGAAUCAAAAGAUUGAGCUGACAUGGGCUGUUCCGGCAAAUCAAAAGCUGUAUGUGUGGCAAGAAAAAGCAACAUCCUAUGAAACAUCAGUAGUAGCAACAGAAGAGGGGACAAAAACAUCUCUUUUUGAAGGAACACAAUUUUCUGCAGUUGCUAUACCAAAAGGGUGCAACUUCAAUAGUGGAAUUAAAGCUUACUGAGAUGGCUACUGCAUUUUAAACCUGUUCUGCUACCUCUCAUUGACCCUUCUCCUAUGAAACAUCAGUACUUGAUCAAAUGUCUUACAUCUAUGGUGAGAUUAUAAGAGUAUACAUUGAGAAAUGCAUCAUUUCUGGGAGAAACCUGGUAAUAUCAAACCUGGUUAUCAGAACACCCCUCUCACCUACAAAAUAUGGAUUGGAAUACUUCUCAACAACACUAGUUGGCCACUUAAAACAUGAAGAAAAAAAGCAGCAUAGGACAUAGAGAGCUAUUUUCUCUAUUGUGCAAGAAAAUUAAAGCUGCAAUCACUAUUAGGAAAGCACAUGUUUGGAAAUAGUCAGGGAAAGAUCAAAAGAAAUCUACAUACAAAACAGGCAGAAGCAUAUUACCAAGACCAGUUUAGGCUGAUGCUUGCCUGCUGAUUGAAUUCAUACACCUUUUGAUUACUCCAGAGAGCCUGUAUCAACACAGUCUCAUCCUUCACAUUGUGGAAUGUUGCCUUGAUGAAUUAGUUUUCUGACCUGCCUGUCUACAUCUCUAUUAAAUCAACAGAAGAGGUUGCAAGCU